rnacentral:rRNA from 1 species
UACGUAGGGUGCAAGCGUUGUCCGGAAUUAUUGGGCGUAAAGAGCGUGUAGGCGGCCCGAUUAGUCCGCUGUGAAAGUCCAGGGCUCAACCCUGGAAUGCCGGUGGAUACUGUCGGGCUAGAGUCCGGAAGGGGCGAGUGGAAUUCCUGGUGUAGCGGUGAAAUGCGCAGAUAUCAGGAGGAACACCAAUGGCGAAGGCAGCUCGCUGGGACGUGACUGACGCUGAGACACGAAAGCCAGGGGAGCGAACGGG